GACGAAGGAUGCAAGCGUUAUCCGGAUUCAUUGGGUUUAAAGGGAGCGUAGGCGGACUUAUAAGUCAGUGGUGAAAUCUCCGAGCUUAACUCGGAAACUGCCAUUGAUACUGUAAGUCUAGAGUACAGUUGCCGUUGGCGGAAUAUGACAUGUAGUGGUGAAAUACUUAGAUAUGUCAUAGAACACCGAUUGCGAAGGCAGCUAACGAAGCUGUAACUGACGCUGAGGCUCGAAAGUGCGGGGAUCAAACAGG
rnacentral:rRNA from 1 species